AUGUUUCUCUAUAAAAUGGAAAUUCAAAGAGCAAGGAAUUUAAAAAAUGCACACAUUCACUGGGGAGCACAUAACAUGAGCAGUUUCGCUAAAAUCUUGCGCCCAGACCUAAAGGUCUCAGAAGCUUGAAUCGUAUGUCAAGGGGAAAUGUAGAUAUAGUUUCUGCUAUAGUUCAAAUGGAGUGGGGGUCGGGGAGGUGACGUCAGGUCCCAUUAGGCUUGCAGACCUCCUAUUGGACUACUGGAGGCUUUUUAAAGGAGCAGGCAGCAACGCUGGAGGCUUGUUCUCGUCCUCGCAUGAGCUGCAGCUCUCCAUCCCUCCGUUCAGACCGCCAGCAGCGGAGCGGCACUGACAGCAGGCAGGUUUAGACAUGAUGAGAAAGCAGCAACAUGGUGCCCACUGACCUGCAGGAUAUCAACAGGUCAAUGCAGAGUUCUUUAGCGAAAGGCAGAACGCUUCCUCAUCCACCUGCACACUGUAAGUAACUGUCAGCAUGUCGGCCAUCUGCCACCUCAUCUUUUUCUACACUGCGUUGUGUUGUUUCUCUCACUGCAAUGUUUGGAGAUGGUCUGUGUGUAUCUAUUGCUGAUUAUUUCUUUUUCUGAAUGGGAGACCCUUUUUUUUGCACAUUUCUCCAUGUGUGCAGUCUGUUAUGAGUCUGCAUGCAGGUGUGAAAUCCAGCAUGCUCCUGGGUGAUCUACUGCCUCGUAUGUACGACUUUUGUUGCUUUGUAUGAUUUUGUUCUUUGUGUAGUUUCUCACAGUGCAUGUGUAUUGGUUUAUUUGGUGAGUGUGUAUGUGUGCACACCACUUUAGGUGUGUGGAUGUGUAUUUCCUAAGUUUGUGUGUGUGUGUAUCCAUGUAAGUCUCCAUAUAGGUGUGUGUGUAUGUGUAUUUAUAAUCCAAGGCCAUUCAAUAGCACCACAUGGAUCCAUCCCAUAUCCUGGUCGCCGUGGUUACCGGGGCCACUUAUCACAGAGGAUCCCGGCAGAUCAAACAGGUGUGCAUCCUGACGAUGUCUCUCCUGGACGACUGUUGCUAGGAACCUUUGUUACACACAGUGCACAGGUGCUUGUCAAUACUGGUGAAAAUCAGCAGGAGAGAAAAAUGCUGUCUUGAUAUCCCAGUCAGAACUGGUGUGUGUGUGUGUGUGUGUGUGUGUGUGUGUGUGUGUGUAGGUUACAUGUACCUGUUGUCCUUGUGAAGAAGAGUGUUGGGUUUAUUUCGUUGGAGAGGCGCUGGGUUCAGCAUUCAUGCUGGAAUAAGGUCGAUGUAAAAGUUUAAAGCCCCUGACAAUGUGAUUUCUUUUCUUUAACAUUAGGGAGGUGAUUUAGAAUUUCACUCCCAGAAAUUGAGACAGAUCUUUUUUUAUUUGUCAAACUGUUAAAUUGUCAAGCAGAGGACGUCCUUCUUUACUUACUAGUGCAAGUGAAGCUCCACAAUGGAACUUAGAGUCGUUCACCCUGCUUGUUAAGUGUCCCUAUAUUGUAAAGUUUAUAACACAGAUUUCUGAACUGAGACGUGUGGUCAGUGUUUUUUUUUUCAGACUUUUGAACUCUUCAAUUAUACAGCGGUUUGCAGUGGCUGAAUAGCGCUCAUAGAGUCUUUCGAUUGGUGCCGGAGCCCUUUAUAUAUUCAUAUGCAACAAUCUAAGUACAACUUUAGGGGGGAAAACACCAUUCAGUAUUUAGUUGCUCUGAAAUUCCUCUGCUUCAUUAACUUUGUUGUUAUGCUUUGAUCAGAUUUGACUGACAAUGGCCUCAAAACACCAGUUUGAGUCAGAUUCACAUAGUGCUGAAACAAGACCACAGACAAAAAAAGGAAAAUAAAGGAAACCACAAUUGUGAAAUAAUCAAAACAUGGUGUGUGCAUGUAGGACCCCAUCACUUAAAGUAAGAAGCUGAGUAAGAAAUAGGUUUUCAGGACCUCUGAGUUAAAAGUAAAUAAUGUUUAUUUCUGGAUUAUGGUUUGGAUUUAGAGCUAGUGGUAAAAUUAAACAACUUCACUGCCACCUGAGACCCUAUCAGUUCAGCCUGUUUUGGCCUAAAUAAAAUUGUGUCAAGAACUUACAAAAUCUAAUUUCAGAGUGAAAACUGGGAGCACAGAAAAGAACAGACUCAUAGACAAGUUCAUCAUCUCUGCCCUCCUACAUGUCAGUGAGACAAAGUUCAGUUUACCGAUUGUGAUCAAACUUCAUAUUCCUCCUGCCAGCAAAAAAGCAGCAGAUGUAACAUUUCCUAGCGUGGCUUUCAAAUUUGGGUUCAGGGUUAAGGAACAGAUGUUGUCAAUAGGAAGACAAAGAAAGGAAACAAACUGAGAGGAAGCAGUGAAAUGAAAUGUAAUGAAAUGAAAGGCUGGGUAAGAUUCGAGGGCAGGAGAAAAGUGCUGGAGGCUAGAGAGCCAGGAAAGAAAGGCUUGCAUCAAACAUUGAACCCAGUGAGGAUUCUUUGACUUGCAGACCCUGCUAAGCUCACCACUCCCCCAGUCGUGCUAUGUCUACUUCCCUGCCUUUGCACACCUCACUCUCUCCCUGACACUGUGUCAAUGUUGUUGUCACCCUCACCCUUUCACCUCACACCUCGCUGCUUCCUUAUUUCUCCACCUCCCUCCCCCGGUUUCUACACCACAGCACCUGUUCUUCUAUUCAUCCACCUGCCCAUCUCUCCAUCCUCCAGUGCCCACUUUAACCAUGUGUCCUCAUGAGGCAUCCUGCUGUUGAUAAAACGUACCCUCCAAUGUCUCUUCAUCCAAUCGGACUUCUGGGGUUUGCUACUCCUCCCACACUUCACCUCUAUCGUAUCCUAUCUAAUAAACUUGAAAGAUCAAAUAUAAGCUCUCUCCAAAAAUUGCCGAGCUCUUAAAUCUCUUCUCCACCUGGCAUUAAUAUACGUCUCAUAUGAGAGCUAUAUCUGACAUUAAACUUAACUCCUAUAUACUGUUUGUGCCUUUCCCGAUUAUAUCUCAGUCUCUCAGGUUACUUUGCACAUAACAUCCUCUGGUAAUAUUUGUGAAAUAAUUAAUAUUGACAGGAAGCACUUGGUCUUGCUCAGUCAGCUGUUCAGUCUUCAAGUAUCCUUAUAAAUCCAUGCAGAAGAGUAGGCUACAGUCUAAGCUGCCGUCCAUCUGUUUGUGAGUAUAUAUCUGGGUGCACAAUCACUACAUAUGGACAAAAGCUGAACUCCAGGGUGUCCCAGGCACAUUCACGCCUGCAUUUAAUCUGAUUUGGUUCUAUCAGAUUGUAAUUUUAUUAGGAUGUAGUUUGGUGUCAGGUGCAAAGGGGAGAAACAAAAUGUAUAUUUUAUAUAUUUGCCUAUUCUGCUUUUGCCCCACCAGUCUUCCUUUCACCUUUUCCAUAUGUCAUUCAUUUCAGCUUUAAUCCCUACAUUGCACCUUUCUUUUCUCUCGCUCUCACUCCAUUUCUCUUAUCCACCUGGCACCUCUCUCACACCACUUCCCUCACCUCUCCUCUCUCAAUAAAGCCCCCCCUCGAUCUCCUCUCUUCUUUCCACUUGCUCUCCUUUUCCCAACUCAAUAACCUCAGCUCUCGAGUGCUCCCCUCACCUCUCCAGCUGUGCUUCCAGCAACAGUCCCCCACCCCCACUCUGCCUGCUUCUCCCCCUACAGGACACUAUAUACAGGAUGGUCUCUCUGCGAGAGGUCAGUGGUCUGGCUGCGUUCUCUGUUCUCCCCC